rnacentral:rRNA from 1 species
AAACCAAAUAGAUUAAAUUAUACUUUUCGGUAAAAAGAUAGUUAUGUAAGUAUAAAAGUCAAUUAAAUUUUUAUUAAGAAGUAGAAUUCACAGAUGACCUAGAAAUCUAACAAUGGCUAAAAAACUGAAGCUAUGAUAACUUUGAGGGAAACUGGGAUUAGAUACCCCAUUAUUCUUAGAGGUAAAAAAACAUGUAGUCUACCAGAGUACUAUGAAUCGUUAAAUUUAAAACUCAAAGGGCUUGGCGGUGUUUUAGACUUUUCAGGGGAACCUGUCUCAUAAUCGAUAGUCCACGAUAUACCUAACUUUUAUUUGCUUUCAGUUUGUAUACCGUCGUCGUCAGGUAACUUUUUAGAAGAAAGAAGUUAGCAAUAAAGUAUGUAUAAUCUCUUACGUCAGAUCAAGGUGCAGCUAAUAUAAAAGAGAGGAUGGGUUACAAUUAUUAUAGUCAUAAUUACGGAAAUAAUAGUUUGAAAAACAAUAUGAAGGAGGACUUGAAAGUAAAAUAAAUUAUAUAAAUAUUUUGAAUUUAGCUCUGAAGCGUGC